rnacentral:rRNA from 1 species
CGAUAACGGCGUCGAGCGGCGGACGGGUGAGUAAUGCCUAGGAAAUUGCCCUGAUGUGGGGGAUAACCAUUGGAAACGAUGGCUAAUACCGCAUGAUGCCUACGGGCCAAAGAGGGGGACCUUCGGGCCUCUCGCGUCAGGAUAUGCCUAGGUGGGAUUAGCUAGUUGGUGAGGUAAGGGCUCACCAAGGCGACGAUCCCUAGCUGGUCUGAGAGGAUGAUCAGCCACACUGGAACUGAGACACGGUCCAGACUCCUACGGGAGGCAGCAGUGGGGAAUAUUGCACAAUGGGCGCAAGCCUGAUGCAGCCAUGCCGCGUGUGUGAAGAAGGCCUUCGGGUUGUAAAGCACUUUCAGUCGUGAGGAAGGUAGUGUAGUUAAUAGCUGCAUCGUUUGACGUUAGCGACAGAAGAAGCACCGGCUAACUCCGUGCCAGCAGCCGCGGUAAUACGGAGGGUGCGAGCGUUAAUCGGAAUUACUGGGCGUAAAGCGCAUGCAGGUGGUUUGUUAAGUCAGAUGUGAAAGCCCGGGGCUCAACCUCGGAAUUGCAUUUGAAACUGGCAGACUAGAGUACUGUAGAGGGGGGUAGAAUUUCAGGUGUAGCGGUGAAAUGCGUAGAGAUCUGAAGGAAUACCGGUGGCGAAGGCGGCCCCCUGGACAGAUACUGACACUCAGAUGCGAAAGCGUGGGGAGCAAACAGGAUUAGAUACCCUGUAGUCCACGCCGUAAACGAUGUCUACUUGAGGUUGUGCCCUUGAGCCGUGCUUUCGGAGCUAACGCGUUAAGUAGACCGCCUGGGG